rnacentral:lncRNA from 1 species
UAGUAAUUCCAAUAUUUUUAUUUAGACAAAAAAGUGCAGACUCCUAGUUUGAGUAACUAUCCAAAGUCAUACACCUGGUGACUCUUUGAGUCUGAACAGAACCUAGAGCUCUUUUCUAACAUAUUAUGCUACUGUCCAUAUAACUCAUUUUGCACUUACUAUAUGCUACCCAGCCUAAAUCUGUGUCUACAGAAGUGUCAGUUGUGCAAGAGACACUGGAAUAGCAUCAACAGUGCUUAGCAGAGAACAGCCAUCCAAUUCAGUUUGACGACAAGCCCAAUGGUGUCCAGCUUCAGUUUGGGACUUUGCAUUUGGCUUACCGUGAGGCAGGCUUACGUUUUGCGCGAGUACCUAUUAACUGAUGAUGAUAUGGCUAGACGGCUCAGUAGUUAAGAAGAUUAAUUGCUCUUGCAGAGGACCUGAGUUCAGUUCCCAAUUCCCGGGAUCCAAAUGGUAACUCAGAACCACCUAUUAACUCCAGUUCCAGGGAUCCAACACCUCUCCAAUCCUUCUUGAGCUCCUGCAUGCACACGGUGCACCAAUACGUACACGCAGGCGCAAGUACAUACACAUAAAAUAAAAACAAAUCUUAGAAAUAACAGAUGAGGGUGCAUCUGUGAGUGUUGUGGUUAGGUUUUUCUGUAUUCAUUACUUCUAAACCCAUGUAAAUAACCAUACAUGGAUAUGUGGGUUUAACAUACACAUAAGGUUGUCAAGACAGUGUGGAAGAAAAAAAUUGAGAUUUCUACCAGAUCUUACUAGGCAACAAAUGGCAAAGUAGGCAUUAAAACAACAACAACAUUUUGAUUUAAAAUUCUGUAGGCGUUUCCCAUUUGUUUCUUUAGUGAUUCUACUUUACUUAGUGAAAUGGUUUAGGUAACGGCUGCAAUGGGAAACUCACAGUCUGUAAUUUCUUUUCUUAACUUUUAGGCAGAUGAAGGGUGUGGAUCUGGUUUUCACCCGGUGAGCAGAUCUGUCCUUAUUAAAUAGAAAAUAUUCUCAGGACACUUCCCAUCCAGAAAAUGAAAUCGCUCAGAUCUAGUAAAGGUUUAUCAGGAUUAGAGCUACGGAUCGGGCUGACCUUCUCGCAGACCAACGACCGCGACUCCAUAGGAAGGUGAGGACGCUGUUUCUUUGACUGUCAGGCGAAAAGUCCAGAGCCU